rnacentral:rRNA from 1 species
UACAGGGGGGGCAAGCGUUGUUCGGAAUUACUGGGCGUAAAGAGCUCGUAGGCGGGACCGUAAGUCCGAGAGGAAAUCUCAAGGCUCAACUUUGGGGCUUUCUUGGAUACUGCGGUUCUUGAGGAUGAGAGAGGUAAGUAGAAUUCCCGGUGUAGCGGUGAAAUGCGUAGAUAUCGGGAGGAAUACCAGUGGCGAAGGCGGCUUACUGGCUCAUUCCUGACGCUGAGGAGCGAAAGCGUGGGGAGCAAACGGG